rnacentral:rRNA from 1 species
AGCGAACGCUGGCGGCAGGCUUAACACAUGCAAGUCGAACGGGCAUCUUCGGAUGUCAGUGGCAGACGGGUGAGUAACACGUGGGAACGUACCCUUCGGUUCGGAAUAACUCAGGGAAACUUGAGCUAAUACCGGAUACGCCCUUUUGGGGAAAGGUUUACUGCCGAAGGAUCGGCCCGCGUCUGAUUAGCUUGUUGGUAGGGUAACGGCCUACCAAGGCGACGAUCAGUAGCUGGUCUGAGAGGAUGAUCAGCCACACUGGGACUGAGACACGGCGCAGACUCCUACGCGAGGCAGCAGUGGGGAAUAUUGGACAAUGGGCGCAAGCCUGAUCCAGCCAUGCCGCGUGAGUGAUGAAGGCCUUAGGGUUGUAAAGCUCUUUUGUCCGGGACGAUAAUGACGGUACCGGAAGAAUAAGCCCCGGCUAACUUCGUG